rnacentral:rRNA from 1 species
UACGUAGGGUGCAAGCGUUAUCCGGAAUUAUUGGGCGUAAAGAGCUCGUAGGCGGUUUGUCGCGUCUGCUGUGAAAACUGGGGGCUCAACCCCCAGCCUGCAGUGGGUACGGGCAGGCUAGAGUGCGGUAGGGGAGAUUGGAAUUCCUGGUGUAGCGGUGGAAUGCGCAGAUAUCAGGAGGAACACCGAUGGCGAAGGCAGAUCUCUGGGCCGUAACUGACGCUGAGGAGCGAAAGCAUGGGGAGCGAACAGG